rnacentral:lncRNA from 10 species
AGCCUACACCAAGGGAAGAGUCAGGGGAGAAGGAACACAAGACUCCGGAAGCAUGCCAGCGUAUAAAACCGUAAGUCAAAGGUCAGACUGUCCAGUGGGUGAUCUCUCAAGUCGCCCGCUUGGCCUCUUCCAAGUGUACUUUACUUCCUUUCAUUCCUGCUCUAAAACUUUUUAAUAAACUUUCAUUCCUGCUCUAAUACUUGCCUCAGUCACUCCUGCCUUACCACAAUAUUUUUUAAAACAAAAUCAAUACCAAAAAGCCCAUGAUAAACAACAUAUCAAAAUUUUAUAAAAGCAGGCUGUUUGGUUUGUUUUACGACCUUGCGUUACUGCAAGAGAGGAGCCGUUUCCAAUCAGGCUUUGGAUCCUGGGCUUAUGUGGCUGCUGUGUCCCUGCCAUGGAUCUGUGAGGGUUGACAAUGGGGUACAAACAAAUUGGGCAAUAUAUAUAUACACAUAUAUGUGUAUAUACAUAUAUACACAUAUAUGUGUAUAUAUACAUAUAUACACACAUACAUGUGUAUAUAUAUACAUAUAUACAUAUAUACACACAUACAUGUGUAUAUAUAUACAUAUAUACAUAUAUACACAUACACAUAUAUGUGUAUAUAUAUAAUAUAUACAUAUAUACACAUACACAUAUAUGUGUAUAUAUAUAAUAUAUACAUAUAUACACAUACACAUAUGUGUAUAUAUAUAAUAUAUACAUAUAUACACAUAUACACAUAUAUGUGUAUAUAUAUAAUAUAUACAUAUAUACACAUAUACACAUAUAUGUGUAUAUAUAAUAUAUACAUAUAUACAUAUAUGUAUAUGUGUGUAUAUACACACAUAUAUGUAUAUAUGUAUAUAUGUACAUACACACACACACACACACAUAUAUAUAGUUUGUUUGUAUUUUGAGAGGGAAGAAAGAUGAAAGAAAGGGAGGGCUUAAAAAAUUUUUUUUGAGACAGCAUCUUGCUCUGUUGCCCAGGCUAAAGUGCAGUGGCACCAUCAUGGCCCACUGUUGCCUCAACCUCUCAAGCCCCAUCAAUUCUCCCACCUCAGCCUCCCGAGUAGUUGGAACUAUGGGUGUGUGCCACCAUUCUUGGGUACUUUCUAAAAAAUUUAUUAAAAUAUUUGAGACAGGGUCUUGCUUUGUUGCCAGGCUGGAGUGCAGCGGUGCAAUCACAGCUCACUGCAGUCUUAACCUCCUGGGCUCAAGCAAUCCUCCUGCCUCAGCUGCCUGAGUAGCUGGGUUCACAGGUACGUGCCACCACGGCCAGCUAAUUUUUUUGAUUUUUAGUAGAGACGGUGCCUUGCUAUGUUGCCCAGGCUGAUCUCGAACUCCUGGAUUCAAGCAAUCCUUCCGUCUUAACGUCCUAAAGUGCUGGGAUUUCAGGCAUGAGCCACCAUGCCCAGCCUCUUGGAUAUUUUUAUUAGAUUUUUUUUUUUUUUUGUAGAGAUGGGGGUCUUGCUGUGUUGCCCAGGCUGGUCUUGAACUCCUGGGCUCAAAUCAUCCUGCCUUGGCCUCCAAAAGUGUUGGGAUUACAAGUGUGAACCACUGUACCUGGCCUUUUUAUUUUUGUUUUAAAAGAGAGAAGAAAGGGAGAUGGGGGGAAGGAGGCUUUAUAUAUAUAUAUAUAUAUAUAUAUAUAUAUAAUUUCUUAUUUUUAUUUUUUUUAGAUGGAGUCUUGCUCUGUUGCCCAGGCUUGAAUGCAAUGGUGCGAUCUUGGCUCACUGCAACCUCUGCCUCCCAGGUUUAAGCGAUUCUCCUGCCUCAGCCUCCCUAGUAUCUGGGAUUACAGGUGUAUGCCACCACACCUGACUAAUUUUUUUGUAUUUUUAGUAGAGAUGGGGUUUCACCACAUUGACCCAGCUGGUCUCAAACUUCUGACCUCAAGUGAUCCACCUGCCUCCGCCUCCCAAAGUGCUGGGAUUAUAGGCGUGAGCCAUCGUGCCCGGCUGAGGCUUAAUUUUUUGAUUGGAGACUUUUAAAUGACGUUUUUCCACUUGGUUCAAAGCAUGGGAAGAUAUUUUGAUAAGCGCAUAUAGGGACACACACGUUUCCUUCUGUCUCGGGCUCCAAGAGGGCCUAGCACAGCAGUGCUCACUGAUGAUCAGGCCUCUCCUUCCAGUGCUCUUCACACACAGACCAUGUCUAGAUUCCUCCUUUCGGGAUGGAAGCCCUGUGGGGGCAGAGCCAACCUCUCCCGUUGCUUCUCUCUUUGUCUAUCUCUGCUCCAGCAUAAGGAGGGCUUGCAGCUGGCUGAAUGAGCCUUGGUUUUCCUUGCAGCCUCACCUUCAGACAGACUUUUCUGACCUGCAUACCUGGUCCAAUGCUGUCAGUUGACUAGUUUGGGUUUUUUGUACUGCUCAAAGGCACCCAGCUGAGAUGGUUGGGGUGGGGUUGGAAUCCAGUCUCACUGCUGGCCAAGCCCUGGAUGCUGGCCUGAGGUCACAUCCUUUGGGGUGGGGGCACAUUUUCAAAUUCAUCCACUCAGAGGGGGCACAUGUUUCUAACUCACACACAGUCUCCCUGUGUGUGGCUGUUCUGAGUACCAUUCCCAACAUCAUCUGCUCAGGGAAUUUCUACCCCCCAUCAACCUCGUGUAAGACAGAGCUUGAGCUUUUGACCUCCUCUGUGAAGUCUAUUUUGCUCUCAGUCUCUUAGACAGAAUUGCUUUUUGUCUAGGAGACAGAAGUUUCUAAGUGCUUACUCUUGAGUUCUAUACUUACUUUGUGGCAGACUAGUGACAAACCAUCAGCCGACCAGGCCCAGGUCUGGAGGCCACACUUCGAGGGCUCCACCUUAGACCAGCCCUCUGCUGCACACAGGGUGACCUUCUACAUGUUUUUAUGAUGGAAGCAAGCUAUCUCUGUGAAUUGUAAUUAUGUGGACAAGCACGGAGCCACAUGGCUGGCAGAGCAGUCUGGCAUGCAUCAGUCAAGAGCAGGGCAGUUCUUCUUUGAUCUAAGAAUGUCUUUGAAGAACACUAGAAUAACAGAUGGUAAAGUAAAAUGUUCAGACAAGUAACUCCUUGCUUUACCUCAGGAUACCAAACAACUGGUUCAGUGUCUAUGUCAGUCAGGAUGGGCUGGGUUAGCUGACAUAACAAACAGCCCCAAGUCUCAGUGGCAUAAAGCAACAAAGCUUUAUUUCUUGCACACGCUGCAUGUUCAUCAUGGAACCCAGAUGAAUGCAGCAGUUGCUAUGUGGAAUAUUGCUUACCACCAUGGGAGGAAGGAAAAAGCCCACAAGGGUCUUGCAUCAACAAUUAAUUGCUUGGGACUUGGAAGUGACAUCAUUUCUGCUUUCAACUUGUAAGGCAGAAUUAGUGUCAUCAUCCCCCACAACCUCAAAAGGUGCAAAAGUGCAAACUGGCAGUGUACCCAGAAGACAAGAGAGUUUGGAAAUAUUUGGAAAACAACAGUUAUGACUACCACAGUGGCACGUUCCAUAAAGUUGACAGAUUUUCCUAAUUUUCUAAAUAACCACCCCUAGUAGUUGUUUUGGUGUCUAGAAAAAUGAGUUGUCAACAGCAGGACACAGCAGUAACAACUGCAGUUAAAAACCGAAAGCACAGUCUUUUUUGAAUAUCAUGCAGUGACAUCUCUGCCAGUAGUAAAGAUUCUCAUGCGGUAUGUGUCUGUUUUAUGUUAUAGAGGUGGCUCAGAUUAUGCUGUAAAAAGCAGCAGAGUGAUAGUGGCCCAAAUGCAGUUUAUUAGGUGAGAGUCUUAGCAUCUUAGUAAAAUAUAUAUUAUAAAAUAUAUGUAUGUCUCUGUGUGUGUGUGUGUGUGUGUGUGUGUGUAUGUGUGUAUUUCAUAAUUGAAAAGCAUUGGCUAAUCCAUCCAAUGGAUCAGAUGAGAUGGUGGAUGUGAAAAUUAUUUGUAAAUUGUAAAGAGCUAUAAAAUAGAAAGCAAAGCACUAUUUAAAAAAAUUGUUGUUACCCUAAAAGAUCAGGCAUCUCAUCAUAGGGUCAUCAUUGGACACUUAUGAUCUAAGAUCUUAUUCUGCUUUAGGUAUAUACUCAUUUCUUUUCCUUUGCUUUUAAAACAAAACUCUAAUUAUAGCAGCACUAUAGCGAACAUCCUUUUUUUUUUUUUUUUUUUUUUUUUUUUGAGACAGUCUUGCUUUUUUGCCCAGGCUGGAGUAUAGUGGCAUGAUCUUGGCAACCUCUGUCCCCUGGGUUCAAGCAAUUCUUCUGCCUCAGCCUCCCAAGUAGCUGGGAUUACAGGCUCCCGCCACCAUGCCUAGCUAAGUUUGUAUUUUUAGUAGAGACGGGGGUUUUGCCAUGUUGGCCAGGCUGGUCUCAAACUCCUGACCUCAGGCGAUCCACCCUCCACCCUCCUCGACCUCCCAAAGUGCUAGGAUUACAUGCGUGAGCCACCACGCCUGGCCCGCAUGGUGGUGGCUAUAUAUACUCAAAACAAAACUGAAAAACUCAGUUUUUCUGGAGAUAAAUUGCCGUGUGAUUAAUACCACUGAAUUAAACAUUGAGAAUUUUUUUUUGUUUGUUUUUGAGAUGGAGUCUCACUCUGCCGCCCAGGCUGGAGCACAGUGGCAUGAUCUCGGCUCACUGCAACCUCUGCCCCACCGAGUUCAAGCAAUUCUCCUGCCUCAGCCUCCCGAGUAGUUGGGAUUAUAGGUGCCUGCCACCGCACCUGGCUAAUUUUUGUAUAUUUAGUAAAGACAGGGUUUCACCAUCUUGGCCAGGCUGGUCUUGAACUCCUGAUCUCAUGAUCCACCACGUCUGGCCAAACAUUGAGAAAUUUAAAAAUUAGUUACAGAUAAAGUCUACACAAAUUUCUUCUACAUACAAAUAAAGCCCAGGUGGAAACUACAACGAAAUGUUCCAUUUGUAGCAUAUACUUUAAAAAGUUCAGCCCCCUCAAUACAUGUAGGUGGGUCUUGUUUUAGGAAGAUGUGCAAAUUUCCAAACUCUUAAAACAGAAUAAUUAAGGGGUGAAUUGCACAUUAAAAAGUUAGGUUAGGUGUGGCAUCUCAUGCCUAUAAUCCCAGCACUUUGGGAGGCCGAGGUGGGAGGAUUGCUUGAGGCCAAGAAUUCAAGACCAGCCUGGGCAACAUAGCAAGACCCUGUCUCUUAAAAAAAAAUUGCCAGGUGCGGUGGUGUGCACCUGUAUGUAGUCCUGGCUAUUUAAGAGGCUGAGGUGGGAGGAUGCUUGAGCCCAGGAGUUUGAGGCUGCAGUGAGCUAUGAUUGCAUCACUGCACUCUAUCCUGUGUGACAUAGUGAGAGCCUGUCUCUAAAAAAUAUGUAAAUAAAAUAGAAAGUAAUUAAAAAAGCAUAAUGUUCUCCCUCAGUGCAUUAAUAUCAUAUAAAAAAACAUGUGAGUAAAAAAUUAUGUCAGUUCUACAAGUUGAAAUAUAUAUACAAUUCUAUGGAUAGCUUCCUCUGUAUGUAUGUUGUAGCAUAUAUGCUAUCAUCUCACAAUUAGUGGGCAAUAAUAGAUGCAACUGAAAUUCCUACAGUUUAGUUGAUCUUGAAUCCUAGGAUGACACAGUUACCUCAAGAACCGUAUCAUUUGCCAAACCUAGACUUGAUUGAACUAGAUACUAAAUAUGAUUCAAGUUCUAAUAGUGCUUACGCCUGUAAUCCCAGCACUUUGGGAGGCCGAGGCGGGCAGAGCACGAGGUCGGGAGAUUGAGACCAUCCUGGCUAACACAGUGAAACCCCAUCUCUACUAAAAAUACAAAAAAUUAGCUGGGUGUGGUGACGGGCGCCUGUAUUCCCGCUACUCCGGAGGCUGAGGCAGGAGAAUGGCAUGAACCCGGGAGACGGAGCUUGCAAUGAGCCGAGAUCACGCCACUGCACUCCAGCCUUGGCGACAGAGCGAGACUCCGUCUCAAAAAAAAAAAAAAAGAAAAACCCAGAAAAGAUAUUCGAUGGCACUUCCAAAGUGCACUUGGAAGCUCUUUUAGUGACGAUUCAGGUGAAUAUUAGAAAUCGUCAUUGUGCUUGCCUCUCUGAUCCAACAGUUUGAUUAUUGCUGUCCAAAAGACCACCACGAUGGCUAAAAGGUAGAAAGAAGACCUUUACUGGUGAUAAUCGCUUUGCCAGCUGGGAAGAGAAAGUGUCCAGUGUGUAUCAAAGGUGCUCUCUCUUCAAAGAGGGGAAGGAUGGUUGGGUUUUAUGCCUCACAGGGUCUGUAUUACACACUAGAGUCAUACAUAUUCAGCAGGUUUGGGGAAAGGCUAUACAUAUUUAUGAAGGCUGCCUUGUGCUUGAGCAAUGGGUAAACAUAUAUGCAACAUACAUCCCCUGUGCACUUUGGGGUGGGGUUUUAGCAUUAAAAUGAGGUAGAAUUUGGCUCUUUAUGUCAAAAGGUGAACUUUAUGACUCAAAGAUGGUUUGUGCGCGGCCUCUACAAGCUGGCUGAAAUUGGCUUAAGGUCUGCAGUUGUUUGUCAAAAAAGAGAAUGUUUGUAAGGCUGAUCCUCUGUCCAACAGAGUUGUAGUGGUCUGGGUUGUAAACCAGAGUUCAGAUAAUCUGCCUGAUAGCUUCUGUUGUUAGGGGGUUUAGUGAAAGUGCGGUUUUGCUUGUAGAAAUUUAGAAAUUUGUCAUGCCACCUGGCCCCUGAAUCCUCUAUCUCUAGGUAAUAUUUUGGUUUCUUUACCCUCAGGGUCCAUCUUAGUUGAUAAAGGGGUGUCUAUUUUGCUCUCUGAGGUCACAUCAUCACAGUAACCCAGUCACACGGAUUUUCUUGAGACAUUCCUGAAGGCAGCCCCAGGAAAGGCAUUCUGAUAAUACUUUAACAAUGGCUGCAAUUUUGUGCCUCCUGAUGUAACCACUUUGAAGUCCUUUAAAUAAAUAAGUUCUGAUAUAUGUUACCCGACAAACUUAAUGUCACAGGUGGUGACUAUCUGGGGCCAGUGGCGCAGAUGGUAAAGGAAUUUAUCAAGACAGUUGUACAUAAAGGAAUGCAGAUUUAUUGAGAAGGAAUGAAAAUACUUUGCAAGGCCGCAGCGGGCAGCACAGCAGAAAAGGAGCCGUCUGCAGAGAGGGAGGGGCUGGAGGGAAGUUUUAUAGGGUUGUGCUGGAGGGGGUUAUGUGCAGAAGGAGGUCCCCCAGCAGGUGCUUGUGCCCGCGGGUUGUUUGUGAUUAGCCAUCUCUCAGAACAAUCAUUCAUUCAUUGAUAUUCCCCACCUGCCCCCACCCCAACCAGCGACCCCUUCCUUGUCGUUGUUUACUUAUCAGGGCUCCACACUUAAUUCUAAAUAAGCUACCUUUGAUGAAGAGUGGCAGUUAUGAUCUCUUAAAGGCCCGAGCCAUUAAGACAUUUUUAACAGCUGCAGGAAAAAGUCUGCCUUUAUUCAGACGUCAGGUGCAUCUUCUCAGAGGUCCAGGUCUCCAUAUGGCCACUGUUCAGCGUUCAUUGAGAAGCACCUCCCACAAGUGCAAAAUAUGAGGUGUUGGACCAAGGAAACUGGACAGCUCUUUUCUAGUUUAAUUCUCAUUAAUUGUGUUCUUUUAAAAUAGGUGAUUAUGCUUAAUCUGAGGAGGAUGCCACAGCCACAGAAGUAUCUGGUUUAUAUCAUUCUGCCAUAACUUAGGAUGGGCUUAGUCUAUGACAGCCCUGUCUCCUAGACCAUCAAAGGAAGUUUCCAGGAAAAGGUAGAUCUCGAAUUAAUUGUGGAAGAAGAAAACAAAGAAGAAGAAGGCACGAAGUUGGCCGAUAUAGAAUAGAUACUACUCUAAGCCCUUUAAGUUUAUGGGUUGAUCAUGAAAUUUAAUAUGCAGGGAAAUAAAUCUUUGAUGUUCUUUGGAUCAGGAAAAUAUUAAUAUCAUCAAGAUGAAGGAUAUAUUAACUCUAUCCAGGCAAGUAUUUUGUUAGCAGUAUGCUCUAACCAGCUGAGCUAACUGGCAACAUUAUGCCAGGCAGGCAUUUUAAAAUAAAAAUUUUAAUUGAUACCUUUUCUUUUGGAUAAAGUAAAUAAAAUCAGAGGGAUACUACCUAAAAUAUUUAAGAUGUAAGAUGAAAUGAGCCACCCAUAAGAAAAAUUAAAAAUAAAAUAUUUUAGAGAAUAUGUACCUAUCAAAUUAUGUAACCCAUUACAUAUAAGUAAAUGAUUUUAGAUGGCUGGGCAUGGUGGCUCACGUCUGUAAUCCCAGUACUUUGGGAAGCUGAGGUAGGAGGAUUGCUUGAGCCCAGGAGUUCAAGACCAGCCUGGGCAACAUGGUGAAAUCUCAUCUCUAUUUUUUUUUUUUUUUUUUUUUUUUUUGAGACAGAGUCUCGCUCUCUUGCUCAGGCUGGAGCGCAGUGGCACUAUCUUGGCUCACUGCAACCUCUGCCUUCUGGGUUCAGGCGAUUCUCCUGCCCCAGCCUCCUGAGUAGCUGGGAUUAUAGGCACCCACCACCACACCCGGCUAUUUUUUUUGUAUUUUCAGUAGAGACGGGGUUUCACCAUCUUGGCCAGGCUGGUCUUGAACCCUGACUUCAAGUGAUCCACCUGCCUUGGCCUCCCAAUGUGCUGGGAUUACAGGUGUAAGUCACCAUGCCUGGCCAUCUCAUCUCUAUUAACAACAACAAAAAAAAGUAAAUGAAUUUAGAUCUUCAAAUAAUACUUGUCAAAUUGAGUAAUUGAGUACAAUAUGUUAACCAUAAAUAGUUUUAUGUUUUAUUUUAUUAUUUUAUAUUUUUAGAUAGGGUCUCACUGUCACCCAGACUAGAGUGCAGUGACAUGAUCAUAGCUCACUGCAGCCUUGAACUCCUGGGCUCAGGGAAUCCUCCCACCUCCUGAGUACCUGGAAAAAUCUAUUUUUAAAAGCAGGGGUUCCUCAUGGAUCUCUACUUAGAGAGUUCACAGUUUUUGGCUUUAUGUGAAUUGCUGCAUAAACUUGAAAUAAAUUCAAUUGUAUUUUUACAAAAGUAUUCCAUAGCCUGGGUGUGGUGGCUCAUUCCUGUAAUCCCAGCACUUUGGGAGGCCAAAGCGGGUGGAUUGCUUGAGCCCAGGAGUUUGAGACCAGCCUGGGCAACAAAGCAAAGCCCCGUCUCUACAAAAAAUAGAAAAUUAGCUGGGCAUAGUGGGGUGCACCUGUGGUUCCAGCUACUUGGGAGGCUGAGGUGGGAAGAUAGCUUAAGCCACUGCACUCUAGCCUGGGUGAUGGAGUGAGACCUUGUCUCAAAAAAAAGUAUUCUCUAAUUUUAUAAAAUUAUAUUUUUAUAUUUUUCAGGAUUAAUUUCUCCUGUAUUAGUUUCUCAUGGUGCAUGUUAUGGUUUCCCCUGCUCCCCAGAGAACAUUUCUUUGUCCACAGUUUCCCACAGAGGAAGCAGGCAGAUGUGACCAGGUCUGUCCCACAUAACCAAGCCAGGCACAGCUGAAUGGACCAGUGGUGGGUGCCGGACCCAAGGGCAGCCAAUCCACAGGCUGAUUCAACCUAAGAGAACAGCUGAAUUAUGGCAUGUGAGAGAAUCAGUCAGCCGGCGGUGGGUGGAUAAGUGAAAAUACCCACAAAAAGAAGCAGAGAAAGUGUAGAAGUGACCGCAGGAGACAGCAAGCCUCUCCCAGUGCCUGACAGUGCUUACUCUCCGUCAGGCCAGCUGAGAGGCUGUACUGUGUAUCCUGAGGAAGUUUUGUUUCCCCGUCAUAUGUAACUUUAAAAUAAAACUCCAGGCCGGGCGUGGUGGCUCACGCCUGUAAUCCCAGCAUUUUGGGAUGCCGAGGUGGGCGGGUCAUGAGGUCAAGAGAUCAAGACCAUCCUGGCCAACAUGGUGAAACUCCGUCUCUACUAAAAAUACAAAAAUUAGCUGGGUGUGGUGGCGCUCGCCUGCAGUCCCAGCUACUCAGGAGGCUGAGACAGGAGAAUCGCUUGAACCCGGGAGGCGGAGGUUGCAGUGAGCCAAGAUCGCCCCACUGCACUCCAGCCUGGUGACAGAGCGAGACUCCAUCUCAAAAAAACAAAACAAAACAAAACAAACUUCAUUCCUGAAACAGCUUGAAUGAGACACUUGCAACCUACAACCCCCCAAAUCUAACUAAUAGGCAGUCUAAAAUUAGAUAAAUUGUGGUGUAAAUUUCAGAGGCAGUUUGGUAAAAAGGUUCAAUUUUAGCCUUCAUCAAUUUUAGAAAAAAACAUUUUGGGAGACAAUAUUAGGCCCUUGUAUGUGGCUUCAAUGAGUUUUUAAGAAUUUGUUAGCCAACUCUGUAGAAACAUCUCCUGCUUGCAAAACAAAACAAAAUUAUGUUGAAGGUAUUAUUAUGAUUAUUAGGAUAAACAUCAGGAGGAUGUGUUAUAAUGGUUUUCUUUCACAACAGGUGGACUUUUUUUGGCUUGUUUCUACCUCUCAAAUUAGGGUCUUCAUGUGGAUGCCACCUAAUCUAUAGACCAAAGCAUUGCUUAAUGCUUAAACAUUUUUUCUCCGUUUUUCAUUAUCAAUAAGGGCAGUAGGUCAAACAUUUUUGUCAUUUACCUAGGUCCUGGGUUGUGCUGAUAAUAUUGCUUAUGGCACAGAUUUUGAAAAAGAGCAGCAAAUUUUAGUGCAGCAGAAAAACAUACGAAAGUGUUGGAACAGGUUGGGCGCGGUGGCUCAUGCCUGUAAUCCCAGGACUUUGGGAGGCUGAGGUGGGUGGAUCACUUGAGGUCAGGGGUUCAAGACCAGCCUGGCCAAUGUGGUAAAACCCCGUCUCUACUAAAAAAAAAAAAAAAAAAAAUACAAAAGUUAGCUGGGUGUGGUGGCGGGCACCUGUAAUCCCAGCUACUCAGGAGGCUGAGGCAGGAGAAUCGCUUGAACCCAGGAAGCAGAGGUUGCAGUGAGCCGAGAUCGUACAACUGAACUCCAGCCUGGGGUGACAGAGCGAGACUCCGUCUCAGGAAAAAAAAAACAAAAAACAAAAAACGUUGGAACAUUGUGUAGAGAUGAGCACUGGAUAGGGGUUUGGAAACCUGGAUUCUGGUCUUGGUUCUAGUGCUAACAAGCCAUGUUAUACUGGGCAAGUCCCUUCUCCCUGUCUGUGAAAAACAAAGGAACUGUGUUCCUGAAAUUCUCUGCAUUGUAUGAUCUUCUACAACAAAAAUGCAAGCUUUGCUAAAGCAGUGUUGUACGCCUUGUCUGGGGCUGAGUCCUAGAAUGGUUCCUGGUACCUUGCAGAUGCUCAGGAAAUAUUUAUUGCUAUUGAACAGCUUAUGGUGUCCACUGGCCACAGAAAAGGCUCUGUUGCAUGUAUAAAGCUGUAGUUAUUUUUCAAAAGGCUUUCAGUUAGCAGGCACUCAACACUCACGGGUCUGAAAUAUUCCAUUUGUUCUCAAGGGGAACACACCUUACUUGCUCAUACAGAAAUAUGGGCAUGGAGGAGCCUAGUGGACGGGGGAAGAAGACAGGCUUAGGAGUCAGAAAAUCUGGCUCACCACUAAUGACUGUGUGGCUUUGGGUAAGUCAUUCUGUUCUCCAAAGUUCCGUGCUCUCAUCUGCAAGGUGAGAGAGCUGACUCAGACCCCGGGACCCUUCUAGAGGCACACCUCUGACUCUGGUCCUCUUAUUCUUGUAAUAGAUAACAAACGAAUAUUAAGCGCAGAUGAAAGCAUUCAGAAGAAUGUGGGGCUGAUGAGGAACAAAGGCAAGAAAAUUAGCACAGAGGCACCAGCUCAUUAGAAACAUCAAGACAGGCAGACUAUGCUUUUUAUGUUCACCACAUAAAAUCCUUUAUGAGCAUCUGCUGGGGUGUCUCUUCCUUUGCUGUUACUGGCUCAGCAAAGCAGGUCAUGCCCUCAGCCAUGUCUGCUGCCCAAGUAGCUGUCACAGGGAGGUAGCACCAGGAGAGAAAGCCUGCCAGCUUGCAAGUCCAUGGCAAUGUCCGUGUUCUUUAAACCGCCCAAUUGUGGUGAUCCUGAGGAUUUGGCCUUAACUUUUGUAGACAAUUCUGGACCUAUCGUAUUUUGAGUUCCUUUACAAAAAAAUUACUAGAUGCCUCACACUCAUUAGGAUGACCACUGUAAACCAAAAAUAAAAACACCCCAGGAAAUAACAAAUGUUGGCAAGGAUGUGGAGAAAGUAGAACUCUGUGCAUUGUUGAUAAGAGUGUAAAGUGCUGUAGCUGCUGUGGAAACAGUGUGGACGUUCCCCAAAAAAAUUAAACAUAGAAUUAUCAUAUGAUCCAGCAAUCCCACUUCUGGGUAUACACCAAAAUAAUUGAAAGCAGGAUUUCAAAGAGAUUUUUGCACAUCUAUGUUCAUUGUAGCUCUAUUCACAAUAGCCAAGAGGUGAAAGCAACCCCAAAUGUCCAUUGACAGAUAAAUAAAAAAAAAUGUGGUAUAGACAUACAAUGGAAUAUUGUUCAGCCUUAGAAAAGGAGAUCCUGUGACAUGCUACAACAUGUGACAUGGACCUUGAGGACAUUAUGCUAGGAAAGAUAAGCCAGUCACAAAAAGACAAAUACUGUAUGAUUCUAUUACAUAAGGUAUCUAAGUAGUCAAACUCACAGAAACCAAAAGUAGAAUGGUGGCUGUCAGGGGCUGGAGGGAGCUGUUCAAUGGAUUGAGAAUCUCGGUUUUGCAAGAUGAAAAAGUUCUAGAGAAUUCACAACAGUGUGAAUAUGAUUAACACUACUGAACUGUACACUUAAACAUGAUUGAGAUGGUGAAGUUUAUGUUCUGUGUUUUUUAGCACAAUUUAAAAAUUGACCAGACAUGUGACCCAGUAGUAAGCUGCUACUAACCUCGUUGUCACAUUAGAAUGCCCUUAAUUUCUUCAGACAGGGUCUUUCAGUUCUGUGAAUAAGAGGCACCAAUUCUUUUCCAGCAUUGCUAAGAAAGGGAAUUUUGCAGUUACACGAAUGAAGAAAGAGACACAGUCAAGGUAGGGUGGCCAGCAAGAUUGUAAUUAUGCUCAAAAUGGUGGUCUUCUGGUGGAGGGUCCUGGUGGAUGGAGGGGUUAGGAAACAGAAGGUGGGAUGCUGACUCUUCAUUGGCAGCGUGACUCUGUGGGCCCCCGUGGGCUAUCAGGGCUAUGCUACCCAGGACGGUCUGCUGGGUUUUCUCCACUUGUGUUUCCUGUAGAUUUAUACUCCUCCUGCAUCUUGCUGGGGGCUUAGUUUAGCCUGUGGGAUGAAACACUCUUGUGUGGGAUCAACAGUCUGGAAAGGAAGAAAUGCCAUCAUCAACUUUCUGAGCAACAAAAGAAAUGAUAUUCUCCAAAGUUAUGUUUUUGUUUUUUGAGACAGAGUCUUGCUCUGUCACCCAGGCUGGAGUGCAGUGGUGUGAUCUGGGCUCACUGCAAACUCUGCCUCACAGGUUCAAGCAGUUCUCCUGCUUCAGCCUUCUGAGUAACUGAAAUUACAGGCAUGCACCACCAUGCCCAGAUAAUUUUGUAGUUUUAGUAGAGAUGGGGUUUCACCAUUUUGGCCAGGCUGGUUUUGAACACCUGACCUCAAGUGAUCCGCCCACCUCACCCUCCCAAAGUGCUGGGAUUACAGGCAUGAACCACUGUGCCAGGCCCUAAAGUUAUGUUUGAAGUAUUAUUAUCUCACCUUCAUUUAAUUCUUUGUCAAUAACAAAAGAAGAAACAUACUGAGCCUACCUAUACCAGGCUACCCCUUAGCCACGAACAAGAAUCUUUUUGCAAGCAAGGUUCUUGAAUAGCUGAUCACUGGAAAUUGAAAUGAAUCCAAGAAACUCUUGGAGGGGACAAUAAAGAUGUUUUCAUUAUGUAAAUGCCCUCCUGAGGGUUGAUUAAAGCACAUGAUAUAGUUAUGGCCUGGUCCAUGUGUCAUUCUAGGAAAAGGCAAAUUCUCAGAUAACAUACCAGAGGGGUUAGCUUAGUUAGUGGCCUAGUAAAUUCAUUGAAUAAAUGAUCUGAGGGUGGCUUUCACGUUGGGGCUUUAGUUACUUUUGAUCCCCGUAAUGUAAGAAUUGUGUCCCAGUGUGAUGUUUUUGGCUGUUUAGAUUUGUAUGUCUUCAAGUCUUCACAGCCCAAAUGUGAAUUACCCCCAAACUACUCAGCAGUGCUCCCUCUGUUUUUGCCUGAAAGGAUUAAAAUUUGUUCAUCCAUCUGGGCAUCCAGAUGAUGAUGACAUACCCUGCCCAGUUCUUAGGGCAGCCUGGGCUGCUGGAGCUAGACAGUGACUCAGAGAGGCAGUCAGUGGGGCUCAGGUGAUAGGUUCAGACAACUGCUACUAAAAGCUGACCCCAAACUCAGACAUAUUUACAAUCCUGUAUUGUCCCCGAGGCAAAAUUCGGUAAGCCUGCUGCUCUUCACCUUCACACAGAAGCUUCAAGCUGCCCUUUCUUUCCAGGGACACGCACUUGCAUCAGAAUGCUAUAUUGUUGAUGGCGAUGAAGACUGGGAGGGUUUGGGUGAAAGCUGUCUUGCGCCACCUGGUCUGGCUUAAAUCUGGGUGGCUCAAGCUCCACAUGCCUUUAGGGAUGCUCCUGCUCUGUCUCUCCUCUCUCAGGUCAGUAAAGCCAUUAGAAAUGAAGCCUGAGGCUGUCCUAAGGAAGGAAUGCUUGCUAAGUCCCUCCUGGGUGAAUAUAGGCGAGUACAUUUACCUGCGGCUGAAUGGGAGUACCAUAUGAAGUUAAUGCUACAUCCUCCUCAGCUCCAUCACUGUCUCGGGCUGAAAGCCAAAGGAGGGAAGGGCUGGGUUAGUGUCCGAGAGUCAAUCGGAAACAGCACAUGAGGACUACAGGAAAACUCCAUGGCUUGCAAACAGGCUCUUCACUCUUUAAAAGGAAUUCUGAGGCUGGGCACGGUGGCUCACGCCUGUAAUCCCAGCACUUUGGGAGGCCAAGACAGGCGGAUCACUUGAGGUCAGGAGUUCGAGACUAGCCUGGCCAACAUGGCAAAACCCCGUCUUCACUAAAAAUACAAAAAUUAGCUGGGCGUGGUGGCGUGCACCUGUAAUCCCAGCUACUUGGGAGGUGGAGGCAGGAGAAUUUCUUGAACCUGGGAGGCGGAGGUUGCAGUGAGCCGAGAUCACGCCACUGCAUUCCAGCCUGGGUGACACAGCGAGACUAAAUAAAUAAAUAAAUAAGAGGAAUUAUCAAUCAGUUGUAGCUGUUAUUGAAAAACUUUAUGAUUUAAAGGAGUGUAUUUAAAGUUGAUGUAGAAAGCGUGGGUAGCGUGUGAGUGUUUAGGAGAAGCGCAUUGGCGUUGGGAGACCACUAGCUCCAAGUCAGUUCUUGCUCUCUCAGUAUUACCGUGUGGCCUUGGGCAUCUCACUCUUUUCAACAGUCCCUUUAGGCUUGAUUCUCUACAAGCUUGAAUUCAAUUUUUCAAAAAUUUAAAAAUUUUGCCCAGGUUGAUCUUAAACCCCUGGCCUCAAACCUCCCACCUUGGCCUCCCAAAGUGCUGGGAUUAUAGGUCUGAGCCACCAUGUCUCACCUGAAUUCAAUUUUUAAAAUUGGGCAUAAUAAAAGAGAUCACUUGAGACGAUUCUAUAUUGUUGUAGGAUCAUCACAGACAUAGGUAUUUGUUUAAUGGCUGCCUCCUCAACCAGCCUGUAAGCUCUGUGAAGACAGGAGCUGUGCCUGUCUCUAAGAGCAGGUACUUGCUGGAUACCUAGUUGUUUUUUGAUGAUCACAGACAUAACCGUGUUAGUAGGGUUCACACUUAGGGGUUUCAUGUUGAGUGGAUGGACCCUGGAAAAGGACUGCUUGGCUCUCUCAUUUGUGUUACCUACCUAGGGCCAAGUUCCUUAACCUUUUGUUGCCUUUGUUUCCUGAUGGAAAUAAAAGAGGAAUAAUGACAGUCAUAACAGUAAGUCUAUCUCAUAGGAUUGCUUUGAGGAUUAUGUAAAAUGUUAUAUAAAGUCCUUGGAACAGAGCUAUCCUUUGUGUAUGAUUAUUGGUGGUGGUGCUGGUGCUGCAGUUAUAAUAGAUGCUCUGACAUCCUCUUCCUAGUGGCUUUUUACUUAUUUUUUUUAUUUUUUAAAGGGGCUGAUGCUGUGAUACAUGAAAUGCUUGUCUUUCCUUCAUGGCAGAACAAACUGAAUCCUUGGCUCAACUUCAUUCCUUGUGUCAUAACAAGGCUCCUUCACACUCAGUCUCUUGGGAACCAACUUUCAGCCAACAUUCUCAUCAAACCAGAUCAUCAGUUAGAAAAGCCUAAUUCUUCCAGCUCUAGCUAUAGUUCAUGAGUUUACCAAAAGGCUGAGCGUUUUUUUAUACUAAACCUGCACCACUGUGUGAUAGGAAGUCCGAGUUGAGUAAGACCUUCCAUUUAUCUGUGGAGAAGGCAGGGAGGGAGGUGAUGAGCAGCAUUUAAAGAUGAGGAAUCUGAGGCUCCUAGGGCUUGAGGACCUUGGUUUGGUCUCGAAGCAGAGUCUCGGAGCCUGGGCACAUGCGGCCCGAUUCUGCACUCUUUCCACUGCCCUUUGCUGCCCAAUUAUGCUCUCACUCCCUGAAUUUGUUUUUUUAAAUUGAAAUGUAAUUUUUUUAGAGUGUGCAGUGGCGCAAUCAUAGCUCACUGCAACCUUGAACUCCUGGACUCAAGUGAUCCAUCUCACGGCCUCUUGAGUAGCUAGGACCACAGGUGUGUGCCACUAUGUCCAGCUAAGCUCUCUGAAUCUUUGUGAAUGACACCAUCCUUGACUUAUCUGUCCUCAGACCAAACAAAUCCUGCCUAUGACCCCACUGUCUUCUUCCUUGCUUUAAGCUAGUUCUCUCUCUGUGACCUGUAAUUUGAGGGUGACAAAAAAGAACUUCCCAUGAAAGAACAAACAAACAUGACACCACCUGGGACCAUUGAAGUUGGAUUUCCCCUGGUAAGGUGAGUGUGCCUUGAAGAAAAAAAUGUUCAAAAAGGGCUAUGUUCAGCAAAAGUUGGAGUUUGCUAGGGAAACAACCAGAAGGGCUUAUGUUUGCAGGAAUAGUGUUCUCUUGGUUCAUCUCGUUUUAUACUCGUUGAUCCGUUUUUACAUUAUAUAGACUCAUUGAUUAUCUAAUGCCUUCAAAAAGAAUCAUAUGAGGUUUGUCUGUAUGCAUCCAAACACUGGAUGGAAAAAUGCCUACAGUACUGUGACACCUUUCUUCCUUCCUUCCUUCCUUUCUUCCUUCCUUUCUUCCUUCCUUCCUUCCUUC